rnacentral:lncRNA from 13 species
AACAAUUUUAAAACAUAAUUAUAUGGAAAGAGUGUCCAUUUGUAACAGAGACUGUCUGCCUUACCACCUGUAUGGCAAUAAGGUAGAUAUAAAUAAAUAAAUUAAUUUUUGAGAAAAUGAGGCCAACUCACCAAAUAUUUAAUUUACAUAUAUACACAUACACAUCCAUACAGCUACAAAAACUACAACUGAAUACCAAUAACUAAAUAUGGCUUGUCCAUGUGGAUACUGUCUUAUCAAACAAUAGAUCAUACAAGAAAAAUAGAAAGUAGAGCGCUUUUUGAGUAAAAGAGGGUUAGACAUGAGGACACUGCCUUAUAUCUUUGAAUAGCUUGUAUCUCUUUGUGUCUUUGAAGAUUUGUUUUUGUAUUACGCUAUUAAUGGAGAGAGCGGAACAGAAAGGGGAAUAUGACCCAAGUUUAUUCUUCCUUGCCCAGAUUGAGGAAAUAGCAGCUUUCAGAAGGUAAAAGCCAAGGAAUCUGAAAAGGGUGGAACAAAAAAGAUAGAUGAUUGGAAUAAAUGGAGAUUUCCUUAAUUUUUUAUUCAGCAGAUAUUUACCAAUGGCCUAUUUUGAACCAUACCCUAAAAGCUUCACAGAGGAAAAGUGAAUGAGUAAAGAGAAAUUUGAUGUUUCUAAAAGACAUGUGUGAUGUGAUAUGGAACUAAUUUAUCUAGAUGUAAAAUUUCCAGGAAGUAAGAGAAUGUAAGUGGGGAGUGAGGGGUAAAGGUGAGAAUGUAUGGGAAAUGAGAUGGGGGCAAAAUGACAGUUCCAGAUAUCAUAUGGGAAAAGAAUAUGAAAUGCAGAAAUGUCUAGAGAAAAAUGUCAUGAGCAUUGGCAAAAUAAUUUGAAGCUGGGCUGCCAGAAAGCAGUGGAAAAGAAUAUAGUUAACAAAAAAAUGUAUUGACAGGCUUGAAGGAGUUAUUGUGAUUAUCACACCUGGAAUGAAGGCACCAUGCAGCAGCUAAGUGGAACGAGACUGCAGAACUACAGUGGGCACAAUACAAAAAACUGCAAACUGGAAUCAAAUCCUGCUACAGGAGCAAGUUGCUGCUGCCAGGGUGAAGAAGCGCUGCUGAGUGAUGCCCGUAGGAACACGACGUCGGCAGGACGGGCGAGUAAGUUCAUUCUUCCUCCUGCGGCCUUCUAGUACCCCUUAGUGCCCCCUGCUGGCGGAGUCUAACAAAGCAGCUGGCAAAAGGUGGUUCUCGGAAUUCCUGCCCCAUCACAAAGAGUAGGGUGGGUCUGAAGCGGGAUAUGUAGCUUGAUGAUUGGAACAAAGCCUUUCCUGACGCUCAGGAAAACAAUUUCAUUAUCUCCUCCCAUAACAGUUCGGAAGAGUUUUAUGCUUAACAGAAGGAAAGACAGAUUUUAAUAUUGGUUUUGGAGGAAUGGACAUGAACAGUCACAUUCCACUGAUUUCUGCGAAUUUGUGUAAAAUUGAAACUACAGAAUAUAUUUGAAAGAAAUAUAGCUUUAGAAUCUCCUAGUACAUACAGAACUGCUUUACUUAGGCAUUACAUAAAUACAAACGCAUAUUAAUUACCUUGUUC